AACGAACGCUGGCGGCAUGCCUAACACAUGCAAGUCGAACGAGACCUUCGGGUCUAGUGGCGCACGGGUGCGUAACGCGUGGGAACCUGCCCUUAGGUUCGGAAUAACUCCCCGAAAGGGGUGCUAAUACCGGAUAAUGUCUUCGGACCAAAGAUUUAUCGCCUUUGGAUGGGCCCGCGUUGGAUUAGCUAGUUGGUAGGGUAAAAGCCUACCAAGGCGACGAUCCAUAGCUGGUCUGAGAGGAUGAUCAGCCACACUGGGACUGAGACACGGCCCAGACUCCUACGGGAGGCAGCAGUGGGGAAUAUUGGACAAUGGGCGAAAGCCUGAUCCAGCAAGGCCGGGGGAGUGAUGAAGGCCUUAGGGUUGUAAAGCUCUUUUACCCGGGAUGAAAAUGACAGGACCGGGAAAAUAAGCCCCGGCUAACUCCGU
rnacentral:rRNA from 1 species